rnacentral:rRNA from 1 species
UAGGGAAUCUUCGGCAAUGGGGGGAACCCUGACCGAGCAACGCCGCGUGAGUGAAGAAGGUUUUCGGAUCGUAAAGCUCUGUUGUUAAGGAAGAACGAGUGUGAGAAUGGAAAGUUCAUGCUGUGACGGUACUUAACCAGAAAGGGACGGCUAACUACGUGCCAGCAGCCGCGGUAAUACGUAGGUCCCGAGCGUUGUCCGGAUUUAUUGGGCGUAAAGCGAGCGCAGGCGGUUAGAAAAGUCUGAAGUGAAAGGCAGUGGCUCAACCAUUGUAGGCUUUGGAAACUGUUUAACUUGAGUGCAGAAGGGGAGAGUGGAUUUCCAUGUGUAGCGGUGAAAUGCGUAGAUAUCUGGAGGAACACCAGUGGCGAAAGCGGCUCUCUGGUCUGUAACUGACGCUGAGGCUCGAAAGCGUGGGGAGCGAACGGG